rnacentral:rRNA from 1 species
UGGGGAAUAUUGGACAAUGGGGGCAACCCUGAUCCAGCAACGCCGCGUGAGUGACGAAGGCCUUCGGGUCGUAAAGCUCUUUAGCUAGGGAAGACAAUGACGGUACCUAGAAAAUAAGCACCGGCUAACUUCGUGCCAGCAGCCGCGGUAAUACGAAGGGUGCUAGCGUUGUUCGGAAUCACUGGGCGUAAAGCGUGCGUAGGUGGCUUGGCAAGCCAAGGGUGAAAUCCCGGAGCUUAACUCCGGAAUUGCCUUUGGAACUGCUUGGCUAGAGGAUAUUAGAGGUAAGUGGAAUUUCUAGUGUAGGAGUGAAAUCCGUAGAUAUUAGAAGGAACAUCGACUGCGAAGGCAGCUUACUGGGAUAUUUCUGACACUGAGGCACGAAAGCGUGGGGAUCAAACAGG